AGGGAUCAUUGCUGGAACGCGCCCCAGGCGCACCCAGAAACCCUUUGUGAACUUAUACCUUACUGUUGCCUCGGCGCUAGCUGGUCCUCCGGGGCCCCUCACCCCCGGGUGUUGAGACAGCCCGCCGGCGGCCAACCCAACUCUUGUUUUUACACUGAAACUCUGAGCACAAAACAUAAAUGAAUCAAAACUUUCAACAACGGAUCUCUUGGUUCUGGCAUCGAUGAAGAACGCAGCGAAAUGCGAUAAGUAAUGUGAAUUGCAGAAUUCAGUGAAUCAUCGAAUCUUUGAACGCACAUUGCGCCCUCUGGUAUUCCGGAGGGCAUGCCUGUUCGAGCGUCAUUUCAACCCUCAAGCCUGGCUUGGUGAUGGGGCACUGCUUCUUACCCAAGGAGCAGGCCCUGAAAUUCAGUGGCGAGCUCGCCAGGACCCCGAGCGCAGUAGUUAAACCCUCGCUCUGGAAGGCCCUGGCGGUGCCCUGCCGUUAAACCCCCAACUUCUGAAAAUUUGACCUCGGAUCAGGUAGGAAUACCCGCUGAACUUAA
rnacentral:rRNA from 1 species